CAGUAGCCGCGGGAAUACGUAGGUGGCAAGCGUUGUCCGGAAUUACUGGGCGUAAAGCGUGCGCAGGCGGUUAUAUAAGUCAGAUGUGAAAUCCCCGGGCUCAACCUGGGAACUGCAUUUGAGACUGUAUGGCUAGAGUGUGUCAGAGGGGGGUAGAAUUCCACGUGUAGCAGUGAAAUGCGUAGAUAUGUGGAGGAAUACCGAUGGCGAAGGCAGCCCCCUGGGAUAACACUGACGCUCAUGCACGAAAGCGUGGGGAGCAAACAGGAUUAGAUACCCCGGUAGUCCCUGUCUCUUAUAC
rnacentral:rRNA from 1 species